AAGCGGAGGAGCAUGUGGUUUAAUUCGAUGAUACGCGAGGAACCUUACCUGGGCUUGAAAGUUAGUGACAUUCUGUGAAAGCAGAACUUCCGCAAGGACACGAAACUAGGUGCUGCAUGGCUGUCGUUAGCUCGUGCCGUGAGGUGUUGGGUUAAGUCCCGUAACGAGCGCAACCCCUAUCAUUAGUUGCCAUCAGGUCAUGCUGGGGACUCUAAUGAGACUGCCCGCGCAAGCGGUGAGGAAGGUGGGGACGACGUCAAGUCAUCACGGCCCUUACGUCCAGGGCUACACACGUGCUACAAUGGUAGAUACAGCAGGUUGCCACAUGGUAACAUGGAGCUAAUCCCAAAAGUCUAUCUCAGUUCGGAUUGAGGUCUGCAACUCGACCUCAUGAAGCUGGAUUCGCUAGUAAUCGAAAAUCAGCAAUGUUUCGGUGAAUACGUUCCCGGGCCUU
rnacentral:rRNA from 1 species